rnacentral:lncRNA from 1 species
AGAUGCUCCAGCUUCUCCCCACGUUUCCUGUGGGUCAGCUCUGUAGAGGGAGUGUGAGGAGAGGGACGACUGUUACACCAGCUGCCCUGAGCUCCCAAUUCGCCCCCGCUCACUGGACCCACGCUUCAGGAGCAAUCAUUGCCCUUAGAUUCAAGUCUUAAUAUUUCUACCAUAACAGAAAUGCAAGAAAUAGAAUGGUGAACAAGACCUAUGAGACCUCUACGGGAGACAGAUAACACGCCUCUUCUUACACAAAUCAUAGUGGAAAUUUUACUGAGCACUGAG